rnacentral:lncRNA from 1 species
GACCUCAUGAACCUCUUCCUCACUAUCUGACUCCAGGAAGCCAAAGUUGAGAUCAGAAAAAUGGUUCCUGACCUUCUCCUUGAAAUCUUCGACCCCCUGUAUGUAAGAAAUGAGAUGAACUCCAACUUGAUCUCCAAAAAUUCAGUCAAAGACUUGAAAGCUUGGACCAAGUCGAUCUUGACAGCCUCUAGCUCCCCCUCAUGCUUCUUCUUCUCGACUGAUAGUCGAGCUUCAAUUUCCCUCCGAGCUUUGGAGAGCUCGGACUCCAGUCACUUCAUCCCUUCCUCCAGCAAAUUGAUCUUCUCUUCGACCUUCCGUUUGGACAGCUCGAUGUCGUCCGCCCUUCUAUUGGCCUAGUUGGCCUUUUUCUCGACCUCUCUCGAGAUGUGCCGAGCUUCACGCACCGUCUCCAAGAAGUGA